GGUCAAGCUACAAAGGGCUCACGGUGGAUACCUUGGCACACAGAGGCGAUGAAGGACGUAGUUACCUGCGAUAAGUCUCGGGGAGCUGGAAACACGCAUUGAUCCGGGAAUUUCCGAAUGGGGCAACCCCUAGAACGGC
rnacentral:rRNA from 1 species